CAGCAGCCGCGGUAAUACGUAGGUGGCAAGCGUUGUCCGGAAUUAUUGGGCGUAAAGGGCUCGCAGGCGGUUUCUUAAGUCUGAUGUGAAAGCCCCCGGCUCAACCGGGGAGGGUCAUUGGAAACUGGGGAACUUGAGUGCAGAAGAGGAGAGUGGAAUUCCACGUGUAGCGGUGAAAUGCGUAGAGAUGUGGAGGAACACCAGUGGCGAAGGCGACUCUCUGGUCUGUAACUGACGCUGAGGAGCGAAAGCGUGGGGAGCGAACAGGAUUAGAUACCCUGGUAGUCCACGCCGUAAACGAUGAGUGCUAAGUGUUAGGGGGUUUCCGCCCCUUAGUGCUGCAGCUAACGCAUUAAGCACUCCGCCUGGGGAGUACGGUCGCAAGACUGAAACUCAAAGGAAUUGACGGGGGCCCGCACAAGCGGUGGAGCAUGUGGUUUAAUUCGAAGCAACGCGAAGAACCUUACCAGGUCUUGACAUCCUCUGACAAUCCUAGAGAUAGGACGUCCCCUUCGGGGGCAGAGUGACAGGUGGUGCAUGGUUGUCGUCAGCUCGUGUCGUGAGAUGUUGGGUUAAGUCCCGCAACGAGCGCAACCCUCGUCCUAUGUUGCCAGCGGGUAAUGCCGGGGACUCAUAGGAGACCGCCGGGGACAACUCGGAGGAAGGUGAGGAUGACGUCAAGUCAGCAUGCCCCUUACACCUAGGGCUGCACGCAUGCUACAAUGGCCGGUACAACGGGCUGCGAUCCCGCGAGGGUGAGCGAAUCCCUUAAAGCCGGCCCCAGUUCGGAUUGGAGUCUGCAACUCGACUCCAUGAAGCCGGAGUCGCUAGUAAUCGCGGAUCAGCAAAGCCGCGGUGAAUACGUUCUCGGGGAUUGUACACACCGCCCGU
rnacentral:rRNA from 1 species